rnacentral:rRNA from 1 species
UACGAAGGGAGCUAGCGUUGUUCGGAAUCACUGGGCUUAAAGGGCGCGUAGGCGGGCUGCCAAGUUCGGGGUGAAAUCCUCCCGCUUAACGGGAGAACGGCCUCGAAUACUGGCGGUCUCGAGGGAGGUAGGGGCGUGCGGAACUAUGGGUGGAGCGGUGAAAUGCGUUGAUAUCCAUAGGAACUCCGGUGGCGAAGGCGGCACGCUGGACCUCUUCUGACGCUGAGGCGCGAAAGCCAGGGGAGCAAACGGG